rnacentral:rRNA from 1 species
GAUGAACGCUGGCGGCGUGCCUAAUACAUGCAAGUCGAGCGAACGGACGAGAAGCUUGCUUCUCUGAUGUUAGCGGCUGACGGGUGAGUAACACGUGGAUAACCUACCUAUAAGACUGGGAUAACUUCGGGAAACCGGAGCUAAUACCGGAUAAUAUUUUGAACCGCAUGGUUCAAAAGUGAAAGACGGUCUUGCUGUCACUUAUAGAUGGAUCCGCGCUGCAUUAGCUAGUUGGUAAGGUAACGGCUUACCAAGGCAACGAUGCAUAGCCGACCUGAGAGGGUGAUCGGCCACACUGGAACUGAGACACGGUCCAGACUCCUACGGGAGGCCGCAGUAGGGAAUCUUACGCAAUGGGCGAAAGCCUGACGGAGGAACGCCGCGUGAGUGAUGAAGGUCUUCGGAUCGUAAAACUCUGUUAUUAGGGAAGAACAUAUGUGUAAGUAACUGUGCACAUCUUGACGGUACCUAAUCAGAAAGCCACGGCUAACUACGUG